GGCGAACGGGUGAGUAACACGUGGGUGAUCUGCCCUGCACUUCGGGAUAAGCUUGGGAGACUGGGUCUAAUACCGGAUAGGAGCCAUUUUUAGUGUGAUGGUUGGAAAGUUUUUCGGUGUAGGAUGAGCUCGCGGCCUAUCAGCUUGUUGGUGGGGUAAUGGCCUACCAAGGCGGCGACGGGUAGCCGGCCUGAGAGGGUGGACGGCCACAUUGGUACUGAGAUACGGCCCAG
rnacentral:rRNA from 1 species